GGCCCAGCAGAGGGAGGAGUCUAACGACGGCAGGGGGCAAGCGAGGAGUGGGGUUCAGGCUCUCCAUGCUCACCACGCUGGCUGGCUCUCUGACAGCAGCUUCCAUGGGAAGAGGACAGCAGCCCUGAUCGCCUGAGUUCUGGGUCCUGUCUUGCACCGUGACUCCCUCCGUUCGGUGGGGCCUUCUCUACUUGGUGGCAAUAGGUGAAAGUCGUCAGUGUUAGUUUUCUGGUACGCAGCCAGGGAUGCUGAAUUCCUCAGGCUCAGAUGAAGCACUGGUUCUGAGGGAUGGGGCACCACCACUUUGUAGGGUGAAGGGAGCAGCAAAGCCACUACCACUUUACUUCAAAGAGCAGGUUUAGGAUUUUUUUCAGGGUUGCAUUGCUGGCCUUACACGAGUGAUUUGUCCACACCAUCCUUUGAAUCAGCUGUGCUUUUCUUUCAAACGUGAGUCCUCACACCACAGGGGAGGUUGCCGUAGAAAUCAAGUUCAGAGGCCCUGUCUUCUCCCCCUGAAAGAACACCUGAAAACUCGGGUUGAGCGGUGCUGCUUUCUGGAUGCCCAGGGCAGCAGCUCUGAGACCCUGUCAGCCUGUCAAGAACCCCUGCUCUUACAGUGCCAGCCCAGGCUCUAUCAGACCCACUGGAGGCCAGGUCCUUGGUCCCUGUCGUGAGGGUAUGUGCCCCUCUCCAGGGGGCUCAGAGGCUCCUCCAGGCCAAUGCGGCCUCUGCAUGCCAUGCCAGGGCAGCUUCCGCCUGGUGGCUCUCUAUGCCGGCCCUGCCUCCACCCCGCUGUCUGUCUGCUCUCUGGGACUGCCUGGUCUUGCUUGGACAGUGCACAGAGACCAGGUCACUGGGGGAAAAGACAGGGCCUGGGGAAAGGGGAACAAGGGCCCUGCUGGAGGGUCAAUGAGCAAACUACUACAAAGGCAAAUGUUUGCCUAGAGACAGCAGGGUCACCGGGGUCACAUUAGGAAAUUCUGGCACCUGCGAGGGUGAGGUUUUCCAAGCUGAGAACUGGUGGGAAAGGUGACACCACAGCACCUUACGCUGCAGCCACAAGGCAGAGGUGGGCUGGGCCGGGUUAGAGGAAAGAGGCAGCAAUAGGGCAAGGACGUCUGGUACCAGGAUUCCUUCCAUUCCAUGGGAAGACCGUGUCUGCAGGAAUGGUUCUGAGGGUCACUGCCCCCACCCCCUGCCAGGGCUUGGGUGAAGAAGCCUUGGGGAGCCCGGAUGAUUCCUUGUUUGGCCUCCUCUGCAUUUUGGAGCCCCUACCUCAUUCUCUGCAACAGGAAGAGAUUUCUAAUUCUGGGCUGCCUCAGAAGGUGAAAAGUAAUAUGGAGCUGGGGAGGAGAGUUGUUACUUCAAAGAAUUUACUGAGGGUUCAAAUCACAUCAAAAUAUCUUUCUCUGCUUUUCUCUUACAAUCACCCUCUGGGGCUCCACUUCCCACCUUUGCAAUGCAACCAUAGUGUCCUGUUAGUCUGACUAAUAGACUAGGAAGGACUUGCCCCGAACACACCAAAAUCCCAACCCAACCACAGUUCAAACCUGUUACACCUUGUUCUUGUGGGUCCACAGUGAAACAAGAUCUGCUCUCCACAGCUUGCUCCUUCACACUUACCAAGCCUGGAUGAAAAACCAGACCCCUUACUUCUCACAGGGUGUACCCUAAAGCUGGAGAAGACCCCUUAGCAUAUACUGGCCUGUGGGAAGGGUGCAAUGGAGAGGAGGGAACAACUGAUUUGGCUUCCGCUGAGUGCAAAAAGCUGCUUGUGAAGCAUUCAAGUUGGGACAGCAUGGGACCCCAACUUGACUUCUAAAGUUCUUGAGCAAGACUUGCCUUUUAGAGCUGCCAUAAAAAGAUAAGGCUGGA